rnacentral:rRNA from 1 species
UACGUAGGGUGCAAGCGUUAAUCGGAAUUACUGGGCGUAAAGCGUGCGCAGGCGGUGAUGUAAGACAGUUGUGAAAUCCCCGGGCUCAACCUGGGAACUGCAUCUGUGACUGCAUCGCUGGAGUGCGGCAGAGGGGGAUGGAAUUCCGGCGUGUAGCAGUGAAAUGCGUAGAUAUGCGGAGGAACACCGAUGGCGAAGGCAGUCCCCUGGGCCUGCACUGACGCUCCAUGCACGAAAGCGU